AUGCCUCCUAAGGAAAAGCCAUCUCCGAGGAGAGGACCUUUUCGACUCUGUACUGCUUGCUCCAGAAAACUUCCCUUCCAGGACGGGCAUUCUCUCUGUUUGUUCUGUCUUGGAGAGUCGCACUCGGUGUCCCAUUGUAGACACUGCAAGCAAUUUACAAAAGUCACCCUCAAGGCUCGUCAGCAACGCCUGAGAUACUUGUUGUGGAAACAGACUUUGUCUGCCUCCCAGCCUUCCCAAAUGGAGGUAGCCCCUUCCACUUCUUCUGUGCGGUCGGAGAUUAGAGUGGUCCCUUCUACCUCCUCGGACCUGACUGGAGACAAGCCUCCUAAGGACAAGCCUUCCAAACAGAGUUCGAAAGACAAGCCGAAAAAGAAGUCUUCUUCUAAGAAGGCACUUACCUCCGCUUCAUCUGAGCCUUCCGUCUCAUCGACAUCGGACCAUCUGAAAAAGAAAAAGACGUCGGUCAAAUCUGCAGCGAAGUCUAGGGAACUUACCCUCGUGGUUCCCCGUAUUUCUCCUUCGCUCCCGUCGCCUAUACUGGAGGACUCCUCUCGAGACCGUGAAUCCUCGUCGGAUCUCGGUCCUUCCAUUCCACAUCGACAGGAACCGCCUGUCGUCAUCGAGAGGUCUCCGACGGCAAGUCAGAUUAGCAAAGUGAUCUCUGACUUGACCGAUGCCCCUCGCAGCCCUAUCUUAACAGGGCGGGGUUCUCGUUCCCGGUCUUCGACACCGGUGUCUCGGGCCACUAAGUCUCCUCCUUCCUCACCAAAGGGACCAGCGCCGCCCGUUGAGCCUUGCUUCCCGCCUCGACGCCCACUUUCCGAGGCGGAGGAAGAGCUUUCCUCCAAGAAGAACAAGCGGCAUCGAAAGCGCAAACGCGCAUCCGACGCCGACAAACGUAAAAAGCAUCGUCGUCGGGACUACUCGUCAUCGGACUCCGAUGACAGCUUAGAACGGAGGAGGUCCCGUCACCGUCGUCGUCGUCGUCGUCGAGAUUACUCUUCUGAGUCCUCCUCGACGUCGAGAGACAGGCGGCGGCGGAGAAAGAGGGCCCGUUACUCUUCUUCCACCUCGUCCUCCUCGCCGCAUCCGAAGAGACGUCGACAUCGUAAGCGCCCCGUUACCGAUAAGGACGAGCGCUCGUCGUCGACUGCUGAUCGCCCUCACAAGUCUCCACCUCCGAGGCCGAUCCCUCCCUCGACACCGGUGCCUCCUCCCCUACCUUCUGAGGUCCCUCCACCUCAGAAGCCAAGCAAACCUAAGGAGCCGCCUUCUCAACCUAUUGUGCUCCAAUCUUCUGAUGAUGACGGUGACCUACAGUCCCCACCUUCAUCUGACCAGGAGGACGAGGAUAUUUCUGAGGCUUCCUUGGAGACCCCCCAUCCAGGGGAACCUGUGGGGUCUGAUGCGGCAGAUAUACAUCCCUCGUCCCCCUCUGAAGAUUUCUCCUCGUACCCGCAGAUGGUCUCUAGAAUGGCGGCUACUUUGAGGAUGGAGGUUGAGAAAUCUCCUUCUCGUGAGGACGAUCUCAUCUUUGGGGACAUUCACAAGGAGCGAUCCCGCCCAGUGAGUUUGUCCUAUGUUUCUGAGCUUAUGGACCUUAUCACAGAAUACUGGGAACACCCAGCUGAUUCUCCAUCCUUCUCCAGAAGGACUGAAAAUAUGUACCGUGUCCAUGGUCCUAAAACCAACUUCCUUCUCAAGCAUCCAGCACCUAACUCCCUUGUUGUGGAGUCCAGUGCCACACGACUUCCCACGAAGGGCCAUCCUACCCCUACCAAUAAGGAAGGCAAGGACUUGGAAGCCCUAGGCAGGAGGCUUUACUCGAUGACGAUCUUUGCUCUUAGGGCCCUCAAUUACCUGGUUGCCAUGGGGGCCUAUCAGAAACAGUUGUGGGCAAGGGUGCUCCCAGCUCUUCAAGUGGCACCAGAGGACAUUAGGCAAAUGUGCCUUGACACUCAUGCUGAGGCCCAAACAGUUUCUAAACACCAGAGACUGGCUUCUCGUCAUGUUGCAGACGCCAAUGCCAGGAAUCUUGCAUCCAUCAUCACUUUAAGGAGACAUGCCUGGCUGCGUUCAGCCAAUAUUGUGGAGGACAUCAAAGCGGGGAUAAAGAAUCUACCCUUUGAUGCCUCCGGCCUCUUCAGUGAGAAGACGCACGAGAACCUAGAAAACUUGCAUAAGAGCAAAAAGACAGCGAAGUCUUAUGCUGUGCAACAGCAGCCUAGACCCUCCAAAUUUCAAUGGAGAUCCAGAUCACAGCAGCAGCCAUUUCAGCAGGCUUUCACUUCGGCGUAUCGCUCAUUUAGGCCUCAACAACAACCCAUGAGGUCUUCACAGGCUUCCUCUUCAGCCUCUAGUUUUAAACCCCAAACUACUAGAUGGCAGUCCUUCAAACCUUCAUCCCAGAAGUCCAAACAAUACCUUUGA
rnacentral:lncRNA from 1 species